rnacentral:rRNA from 1 species
GAACAAAAAAUCCUCCGAAUGAUUAUAGCAUAGACCAACAAGUCAAAACAACCAUUAAAUCUUAUUGACCCAAAAAUAUUUUGAUCAACGGACCAAGUUACCCUAGGGAUAACAGCGCAAUCCUAUUCAAGAGUUCAUAUCGACAAUAAGGGUUUACGACCUCGAUGUUGGAUCAGGACACCCCAAUGGUGCAGAAGCUAUUAACGGUUCGUUUGUUCAACGAUUAAAGUCCUACGUGAUCUGAGUUCAGACCGGAGUA